rnacentral:rRNA from 1 species
UACAGAGGGUGCAAGCGUUGUUCGGAAUUAUUGGGCGUAAAGCGCGUGUAGGCGGCUUUGCAAGUCGGGUGUGAAAGCCCUCAGCUUAACUGAGGAAGGGCGCCCGAAACUGCAGAGCUUGAGUACCGGAGAGGAUGGCGGAAUUCCCCAAGUAGAGGUGAAAUUCGUAGAUAUGGGGAGGAACACCGGUGGCGAAGGCGGCCAUCUGGACGAGUACUGACGCUGAGACGCGAAAGCGUGGGUAGCAAACAGG